UAUUGUACAUGUAUUCACUUAUUAAUGAAUUCGCUUGAAUGUAUAUAUAUAAACGUAUUCAUCUGUUUUACAGUACAAUUUCGCGAGUCAGUGGAAGAUAGAAAUCACUAGCCAAGAUGAAACUAACAAACUUUCUCGUGAUCUUGAUGGUUGUAAUACUGGCAGUUUGUGCACAUGCUGCUCCAAAGAGUCGUGGGCUCCCUCAGUUCCCUGGCUAUGGAACAUUCAAUCCCAAAGGCAAACUGCCUGUGCCAUUUCCAAAACACUUCAUUACAGACUGAUUUGCAACAAAUAUUUAUAAACCAACAAGAUACGGUUAAAUAACAUUGACUUUUAUAUUAAACAUUCGUAUGUAUAACAUCAUGGUAAAUAGAAUAGAAUGAAUAAAUUAUAAA